AGUUAAUGAACUUGUUUAAGUAUAUAUUUUGAAAGUAUAACAAAGAAAUUUUACCUUUCUAUUAACUU
rnacentral:tRNA from 1 species